CAGUUGCCUUUUUAUCAACAGAAACAUUAUUACACAGUGAAACCUUUAAAUCUACCAAUGGUGAACAGAACAUAUGAUCAGAACAAAUCAAUUCUCAGUUUCAAAAGAACAACAACUUCCUUUUGCUAUUACAGCAACAAUCCAGAUCCCAAACCACAUCUAUAUAUGAAGAUUCCAGCUGGAACAAGACAGUUCUUUACAAACCCCAUCCCCUUUUUUUUUGCAGUAUACUGAAGAAAAGAUUGCCUGUAUCUUGCAAUGUUAAGAACAGUGCAACAAAAUCUUUUAUUGCUGACCAGGAAACAGUUUCCACAUGAUUAAAAACAAAGACUUGUGCCCUUGUUCAAAAACAGUCAGACAAGUAAGUAGUAUCAGACACUAAUCAUGUCCAUACAGUUCCAGUCUGCUUCCUUGUGUACAAACACAAGAAAAACAAAGCACUAGUUUUCUGCAAAACUAAGUCUUACUCACUGUGAGCCUUUAUAGGCGAGUGAAAUGUAGGGAAUGGUUGUGCUACAGUGAAUAGCUAUGCCAUGAAGUGAUCUUAGGAAGGAGGAAGGUUCUGCAGGAAGGGUCUGUCUGAAAACUGUUAACAAAUAUACACAAGGAGGCAGGACUGAUGAAAUGCUACACGUAACCUUCGAUUUACAGCCUUACUACUGCAACUCUGAAACAUACAAACUGGUUUCGUAUGAAAAGCUUUAAAUUGAACAUCUUUUACACGAGCACAAGUGCAUAGUUUACAAGUUCAUCCUUGUCGGCCCGUUGUCAGGUUUACAGCAAGGAGGGACAAUGCUUGUUGACAGAUGACAAUACAGGAUAAGCCCUUUAUCAUGUUUCACUUUUAUUGAACAUUUGCUGCAAAUGCAGAUUCCAACCUUGCUUCAGGUUGUACGCAUCGACUCAAGCCAUGAGAAAUCAAUACGUUUGGAAAUCCAAAGCCUUGUAGUGGCAAAGGGGUCGGUAGUGGUUGAUAUCUGUAGUUAGAGAAAUGACAGUGGUGUAACAGUCACUCGUAAAAGCAGUGUGGUGCAAGAGGCUCUUUGGUGCCAAAAAACACUGUCAGUGAUGCAUUUCUGAACGCUACUGAGUAGAAAGCAAUCCAAAUUACAACUCUCCCCUGCAGUGCUAGAGAAACAUUAAAGGACACUGGAGACUCCCAUAUCUUGAGUGGUCUGCGAAGAAAUAUCACCGUGAAAGAAAAGCUGUAUAAAAAUCAAUGACAAAAGACUUCAAUGAGAAAGUAGAUACUAUCUUUCAUCCUGAAAUACAGGCCAGCUCUACAGCAGGCAUAUUAAAUAAUCAGAUUUAAGGUGAUCUACACAUUGAGACCUGAAAGAUCACUGCCUUAAUCUUACACCCAUUUAUAUGGGCAUUUAUAUGGCAAGGUACUUGCAUCAUCUAGAUCUUCAGUAGUGCCUAAAGAACACACUGCUUAUAUACCAGCAUAUGUUAUGUUAAACACUUAGAAUUAUGUAGAAACCUCAGAUUUCAAGUGAAGCC
rnacentral:lncRNA from 1 species